GGGAAAAUAGCUCAGUGGUAGAGCAUCGGUUUCUUAACUCAAAGGUCGUGGGUUCAAUCCCCGACUUCCCCG
rnacentral:tRNA from 1 species